rnacentral:lncRNA from 1 species
AGGAGGGACAAGCUCCAGCCAGAGACAGAAAGACCAACACCAGAAAUAACCAGAUGGCAAAAGGCAAGCGCAAGAACCUUACCAACAGAAACCAAGGCUACUUGGCAUCAGACCCCAGUUCUCCCAUCACAGCAAGUCCUGGAUACCUCAACACACCGGAAAAGCAAGAUAUGGAUUUAAAAAUCACAUCUCAUUAUGCUGAUAGAGGAUUUUAAGAAGGACAUAAAUAACUCCCUUAAAGAAGUACAGGAGAACACAAGUAAACAAAUAGAAGCUUUAAAGAGGAAACAAAAAUCCCUUAAAGAAUUUCAGGAAAACACAACUGAACAGAUGAAGGAAUUAAACAAAACCAUCCAGGAUCUAAAAAUGGAAGUAGAAACAAAAAGAAAUCACAAAGGGAGACAUCUCCCCGGAUUUUAAUGGAACAGCUCUCUUAGACAAUCUUAGUUUGUGAGUAUUCCUUUAUUUGGGGUGGGUUUGCAUGCAUACACCCCUGGAUAGUGGGAAGGGGUUCUUCUUAGGGUUAAGUUUCAUUGGAGUUUAAAGUACUGUGAAUGUCUCCUUUGUGUGGAAAGGCAUUCCAGGAAUUCCAGAUAUGUGCAGGGCAAGUUUGGGGUUGGGGCAAGGGUGGGGGAGGGAGGACUAUGUGACAUUCUUCAGGUAGAAGAUUGUGGGUCAGAGGUCGGGUUCCCCAGAUCGGGCAGAGAAGAAACCCACCUAAGAAAAUGGAGUCCUACAUAUUGUAUCAAGCUCAAAGGAGCUAUCUGCACAGGAUAGACUAUAAUUUUGGUAGCAAGAAGCAACAAAUAGGGUGUUACAUAUUCUAGAAGAUACAGACUUUACAAGAUCGAAACACAGAGUUUAAAGUGAGAAUAACAAGGUUCUAACUGUUGAUGGUCCCAGAGAGGGCGAAAGUCAGGAGAACCAGGGCCAUAUUUGUUCCAGGAGAUUCCUCUUCAAGGUCUGAUCCCUUGGAUUGUAAAGCAACAACAAAAUCAUACCGAUGACAGAGCAGAUUAAAAGGAAGAUAGGAUAAGAUUUUAACCACUGAAUACUGAAAAUGUCAGAUGAAAAAGUCGUGAGAAAGACAGAAUUAAGUAAGGUUAUUGUUACCGAUUUAGAUAAAUCUACAUCAAUAGGCUUAUAUAAGUAAAGCCUAUCUUGAGGGGUGGCUAGAGAGAUCGUUCAGUGGUUAGGAGCACUUCCAAAGGACCAGGGCUUAGUUCAGUACCCACGUGGCAGCUCAUAACCAUCUCGAACUCCAGUUCCAGGGAUCUGGCACCCUCUUCUGGCCUCCAAGGGCAUUGCCCUCACAUGACAUACUGCCAUAUCUGUAGGCAAAUGUAAAGAUAAAUAGAACCUAUCUUUGUAUUAUACCUGGAGUGGUUGUGUUUGUCCUAUCUUGUGUGUCAGUAGACCAUACACAGGAUUUAAUAGGAAGGCCUGUACGUGUCCUAAAUUAUUGUCUCUUUUGAAGUUUAGUUUAGUUUUUAUUUUGUAUUUUAUUGCUAUACUUUACUGCUGGGUGUUUAAGAAGACUUGAAGAUAUUGUCCCCAGGGGUUGUUUGGAAUUGGGAGGAGCUAUGCUUCCUUCAGUCUUUCCUUUACCAGUUAAGCCCUCUGCUAGGAUGAGUCAGGCUCUGAUUAACCAUGCUGCUUCUUUAAAGAUAAGGGAACAUGUCCGUCCAUCUGUGUUCCUCUUUGCAGAAUUUGCACUGGUUAGAGUCUACUGUCUGGUCUCCUUGGUUUCUCUAGUCCAGAGGAUGGGCAACCCACACGGAGAUACAAGACCAUUUGAAAGAUGCCUGAUUGAAAGAUUGGAUUGAGCUGCCGAUUCCUGUGAGCUGUACUGCUGAUGUCCUGACAAUGCAGAUUGGAUUUGCUCCAAAGAACUAUUUCUAAACAGGUUCUUCUUUGCCCUAUUAAUCUUUCCUUCCCACUACCUCUGGUGUGGUGGGCUAGAAGGGACAUUAAAACAUUUAAGAACAACAACCCUCGAACUGUGAGGCUGUCAGCUUCAGACAAGAGAGACUAUUUACUUAAAUGGCCAAUUUUUGUUUAAAAUGGCCACUCAAAUUAAAAGGAAAAGUGAGGAUCUGGAGAGAGGCUCAGCAGUUAAGAACACUGACUGAUCUUCCAGAGGACCAGAGAUCAAUUCUUAGCAGCCACAUGGCGGCUCACAACCAUCUGUAACGGGCUCCCAUACCGUCUUCUGGUGUGUCUGAAGAUAGCUACAUUGUACUCAUUUAUUAUAAAAUAAAUAAAUAAAUCUGCUCUUC